rnacentral:rRNA from 1 species
UACGGAGGGUGCAAGCGUUAUCCGGAUUCACUGGGUUUAAAGGGAGCGUAGGUGGCUUUGUAAGUCAGUGGUGAAAUCUUAGAGCUCAACUCUAAAAACUGCCAUUGAUACUGCUUAGCUUGAAUCACGUCGAGGUGGAUGGAAUAUUACAUGUAGCGGUGAAAUGCUUAGAUAUGUAAUAGAACACCGAUUGCGAAGGCAGUUCACUAGGCGUGUAUUGACACUGAGGCUCGAAAGCGUGGGGAUCAAACAGG